rnacentral:rRNA from 1 species
GGGAAUGUACCCUUUGCUACGGGAUAGCUCCGGGAAACUGGAAUUAAUACCGUAUGUGCCCUUCGGGGGAAAGAUUUAUCGGCAAGGGAUCAGCCCGCGUUGGAUUAGCUAGUUGGUGGGGUAAAAGCCUACCAAGGCGACGAUCCAUAGCUGGUCUGAGAGGAUGAUCAGCCACAUUGGGACUGAGACACGGCCCAAACUCCUACGGGAGGCAGCAGUGGGGAAUAUUGGACAAUGGGCGCAAGCCUGAUCCAGCCAUGCCGCGUGUGUGAUGAAGGCCUUAGGGUUGUAAAGCACUUUCACCGAUGAAGAUAAUGACGGUAGUCGGAGAAGAAGCCCCGGCUAACUUCGUGCCAGCAGCCGCGGUAAUACGAAGGGGGCUAGCGUUGUUCGGAAUUACUGGGCGUAAAGCGCACGUAGGCGGAUAUUUAAGUCAGGGGUGAACUCCCAGAGCUCAACUCUGGAACUGCCUUUGAUACUGGGUAUCUUGAGUAUGGAAGAGGUAAGUGGAAUUCCGAGU